rnacentral:misc_RNA from 1 species
AAGAGAUCGAAGGUAGGUUGAAGUCAGCUGAGGCAAAGAUCAUGUCCUUGCAGUCAAAUUGUCUGAAGUUAUGGGAUACUGGUCCUUCUAAUCAACUUCUUGAGUAUCUGCAAAAUGUAGAAGAAGUUCGGAGUAUAAUAGUGAGCUUGGAAAGUAUGGUGCUAAACAAGAACAGGAAACAAAGCAGACUUACUAAUCAAGCUCACAGUGUUUUGCAGAUUGCAAUGGUAAGGCUGCAGGAAGAAGUUAUCAAUAUUCUUGCGCAGAGUAAGCAGUGUUUCGAGCAUGCAUAUGUGUCGUUCCAUUCUUGUGAAGAGACCGUAGUUGAUGAGGAAAUGAUGGUCUCAAUUGAGUAUGACUCAAUUGAGGGAACAUCUUGUCUGGAUAGUAGUAGAGCUGAAUCAGAAGAAUGUAUAAUAAUGGAUUUGGUCCAUCCAGG